UACAGAGGUCUCAACCGUUGUUCGGAUUCAUUGGGCGUAAAGGGUGCGUAGGCGGUCGUGCAAGUCGGAUGUGAAAUCUCAGGGCUCAACCCUGAAACUGCAUUCGAUACUGCGUGGCUAGAGUGCUGGAGAGGAGACUGGAAUUUACGGUGUAGCAGUGAAAUGCGUAGAUAUCGUAAGGAAGACCAGUGGCGAAGGCGAGUCUCUGGACAGCAACUGACGCUGAGGCACGAAGGCCAGGGGAGCAAGCGGG
rnacentral:rRNA from 1 species